rnacentral:lncRNA from 10 species
AACUUGAUGAAGUCUUUGUCCUUUUAGGCACUUGGACUAGUACCCUGCAUGAAAGUUCAUUUCAAGGCAAACAGAACAAUAUUCUUGGAAUGGGAGGAAAAAGCUUCGAGUUUGAACAGGCACUAUGCUGAGCACAGAAUUGAAUGUGUGGGCACAGCAAUAAGCUGGCAGGUGUGUCUCCAGCCAGCCUCGUGGAUCUACAAACAUACCAAAGAGGAGGCGCACACUGGUGUAAUGGGCCAGAUGACAAUCUUGUGUCUUCCCACUCUGAGUUCCACUAGAUUUGGACUUGCAUAUACAAAUGGCAGCUGUCUCCACAUGGCCAUCCCUCAGAGCUGGGGUCUCCCAAAGUUGCCAAUGCUGGUCUCCAACUCCUGGCUUCAGGUGAUCCUCCCACGUCAGCCUCCCAAAGGGUUGGGAUUACAGGCAUGAGCCACCAUGCCCAGCCCAGAUGAUUCUUAUAAGAUGAGAACCUCUCAGAAAAAGGAAGAAAGGCUUCAUCCGCAGUGGGCAUUAAAAAAAAUCAUAAACAUCUAUUCAUGGUCUUGGAAUUGAAUCUUAAGGCAAAGCAGGAUCUCAGUGGAUAUCCUGGAGCUCCUGAAGUUGGUACUACUGGAACACAGAACAUUCCCUACUGAAGAGAAUGUUAUAAAGUGCAUAUGUUCUUUCUUUCUGCAAUUUUCAAGGAUUGUGCACAUCUCUCAGUAACCUAGCCUUCUUUUGAAGCCUUGCUUACAAGACAGAAAAUUAGACAGCUGCUCCAAAAGAGUCAGAUGCUGAGAUCCAUUGUCCACCCUGGCUCCUGCUCUGAAUUGACAUCAGUUUGCAACUAGCAGUUUCAUAAAUCAA